rnacentral:rRNA from 1 species
CCUACGGGCGGCAGCAGUGGGGAAUAUUGGACAAUGGGGGCAACCCUGAUCCAGCCAUGCCGCGUGUGUGAAGAAGGCCCUCGGGUUGUAAAGCACUUUCAGUGAGGAAGAACGCCUGGUGGUUAAUACCCAUCAGGAAAGACAUCACUCACAGAAGAAGCACCGGCUAACUCCGUGCCAGCAGCCGCGGUAAUACGGAGGGUGCGAGCGUUAAUCGGAAUUACUGGGCGUAAAGCGCGCGUAGGUGGCUGGAUAAGCCGGUUGUGAAAGCCCCGGGCUCAACCUGGGAACGGCAUCCGGAACUGUCAAGCUAGAGUGCAGGAGAGGAAGGUAGAAUUCCCGGUGUAGAGGUGAAAUGCGUAGAGAUCGGGAGGAAUACCAGUGGCGAAGGCGGCCUUCUGGACUGACACUGACACUGAGGUGCGAAAGCGUGGGUAGCAAACAGGAUUAGAUACCCCGGUAGUC